rnacentral:misc_RNA from 1 species
CCAAAGCAAAAUCAAUACAGAGAAGGGUUAAUAAAAUCAAUAAAAAUCUCAGCACGUUAGAGGAGCAAACAGAUCAACAAGAAUGGAGUGCGUGUUUGGACUAGUAGGCAAUGGUUUCGCGAUAGUAGCGGCUGAUACAUCGGCCGUACACAGCAUCCUCGUACACAAGUCCAACGAAGACAAGAUCAUGAUCCUUGAUUCCCACAA